GCCUGAAUAGCUCAGCUGGUAGAGCAGCGCAUUCGUAAUGCGGAGGUCGCGGGUUCAAAUCCUGUUUCAGGCA
rnacentral:tRNA from 1 species